rnacentral:lncRNA from 1 species
UAGGAGAUACUUCUCAAGUAGUACUGCUUUCUUUAAACCAGUAUGACUUUAGAGAGCCUGAAUGUCCUCUGCAAUUACAUUUUUACUUUCUAAUGAUCUUAAUAAAUAAUAAUAGUGUCAAAAUAAAAAUAAAGAUUUGUGUUCAAGUGUGGUGACGCCUUCCUUUGAUCCCAGCAGAGGCACGUGGAUCUCUGUGAGGUCAAGACCAGUUGGGUCUGCAGGACAAGUUCAAGGCCAGUCAGAGCUAUGUAGUAAGACCCCCUCUCCCCUUUUGUUUUUUAUUAUUAGCAAUAUGAUUCUUAAAAAUUUUUAAGAGUUUUAUGAAAUUGUGUGUGUAUGUAUAUGUUUACUUUCAAUACAUAAGUCACAAUUGUUGUUUUACCACAUAUUUAAUUCCUAUUUAUGGCAACAUUCUAUGUUGAUUUAUAUUUAAGUUUUAUAUUCUUUAGAGUUUGCCACUUUACAGAUGAAGUACAUUUAAAGGAGUUUGGCUUCUGUUGCUGUACAAGGCAAUUCAGACUGCACAGAGCACAGGGCUUUCCGGCUCUGUUUCCUCCAUAGUACCUGACAGUUGUUUUGUGUCUGUAAGAAGUAGGUAUGAUAAAGAGAGCUGAAAUAGUUAUUAGCAAUCCUGUUUGAACUAUAUAUUGGUUCUGCGUAUUAUUUGUUAACUGUUUGAUAAAACUCUGACUUAUAACUAACUGGAAAUUGUGUUCAGCAGAGAAAAUACAUGUUAUAAAGCAGGAAUUUAUCAUGAGGUAGUUUCACUUCUUAAAAAGUUAUAGGGUAACCAUUUUGAGUUUCAGAAAGAAAUAAUUGUAUUAAAGCUAUAUUGUUACUCUCACCUUACCCCCAAAAGUUUAGUCUAAUGUCCUAAUGUCAUCACCUCUAUUUCUCUUACAACAUCACUUUCAGAUGCUUGGUACUUGGGAACCACAGUGCUCUCUUUGGAAUUCUAGGAGACUAGCUUACUUGAUAAUGAAAAGAUUCUGAUGUUAGGAUGUACAGAAUUUCUUUAUGGACUUUUUAAAAAAACACAAAACAAAAAGCAAAAGCUUAUGUUGAGAAAACUCACUUUAUUAUAGACCUUUUCUCUCAAAUCCAAGUCUGAGUGAAAGGAUUAUACUACUUAUCCAGGUUAUUGUUAAAGUAGUCAUCUAAUGUGUUCUGUGUUCUGUUUUGUCAUCAGUCUUGUUUAAGGAGUAGGCUCCAUGGACUGUCCUACAUUGCAGGGUCACCUGCUUCUGCCCCAUGACUAUAUAGUAUACUUGAUUGCAAAGUUUCACUAGCUGUUGGUGGGAAGUAGGCCUCUUAUUGCCUCAGCACUGUAUACUUGAUCCAGCCUUCAAUGCUGUGCUGGUUUGAAGAGGUGUGGGUCUCAUAGGUUCAUGUGUUAGAAUGGAUGGCCAUAGGGAGUGGCACUGUUAGGAGUUGUGUCAUUCUGGAGGUGGGCUUUGAGAGCUCAGAUAUAUGCUCAAGCUCCUCCCAGUGUGGUAUAUAGUUCCCUUCUGCCUGUGAUUCAAGAUGUAGACUAGAACUCUCAGCUCCUUCUCCAGCCCCAUGCUAUCUGUAUGCUGCCAUGCUUCCCACCAUGAUGGUAAUGGACUUAAACAUCUGAACUAUAAGCCAGCCUCAGUUAAAUGUUUUCCUUUGUAAGAGGAAAGGAAAACUUCUUGAUCAUAGUAUCUAUUCACAGCAGUAAUAACUGAGUCUCAAUUGUAUACUUUAUAGGAAUGUAGUAUUGAUGAUUG